UAUAUACUCCCUCCGCCCGGAAAUACUUGUCGGAGAAAUGGAUGUAUCUAGACGUAUUUAGUUCUAGAUACAUCCAAUUUUAUCUAUUUGUGCGACAAGUAUUUCCGGACGGAGGGAGUAGAAA
rnacentral:pre_miRNA from 1 species